rnacentral:tRNA from 1 species
CGGGGUGUAGCGUAGUUUGGUAGCGCGCGUGGUUUGGGACCAUGAGGCCGGGGGUUCAAAUCCUCUCACCCCGACCA